AAAUUGAAGAGUUUGAUCAUGGCUCAGAUUGAACGCUGGCGGCAGGCCUAACACAUGCAAGUCGAACGGUAACAGGAAGAAGCUUGCUUCUUUGCUGACGA
rnacentral:rRNA from 1 species